AGUGAACGCUGGCGGUAGGCCUAACACAUGCAAGUCGAACGGCAGCACAGUAAGAGCUUGCUCUUACGGGUGGCGAGUGGCGGACGGGUGAGGAAUACAUCGGAAUCUACUUUUUCGUGGGGGAUAACGUAGGGAAACUUACGCUAAUACCGCAUACGACCUACGGGUGAAAGCAGGGGAUCUUCGGACCUUUCGCGAUUGAAUGAGCCGAUGUCGGAUUAGCUAGUUGGCGGGGUAAAGGCCCACCAAGGCGACGAUCCGUAGCUGGUCUGAGAGGAUGAUCAGCCACACUGGAACUGAGACACGGUCCAGACUCCUACGGGAGGCAGCAGUGGGGAAUAUUGGACAAAGGGCGCAAGCCUGAUCCAGCCAUACCGCGUGGGUGAAGAAGGCCUUCGGGUUGUAAAGCCCUUUUGUUGGGAAAGAAAAGCAGCAGGUUAAUACCCCGCUGUCCUGACGGUACCCAAAGAAUAAGCACCGGCUAACUUCGUG
rnacentral:rRNA from 1 species